rnacentral:rRNA from 1 species
AUUGAACGCUGGCGGAAGGAAGAAAAAAGGAAAGUAGAGAGGAUGAAGGGAGCUUGCUCCUGGAUUCAGCGGCGGACUGGUGAGUAAUGCCUAGGAAUCUGCCUGGUAGUGGGGGAUAACGUCCGGAAACGGGCGCUAAUACCGCAUACGUCCUGAGGGAGAAAGUGGGGGAUCUUCGGACCUCACGCUAUCAGAUGAGCCUAGGUCGGAUUAGCUAGUUGGUGGGGUAAAGGCCUACCAAGGCGACGAUCCGUAACUGGUCUGAGAGGAUGAUCAGUCACACUGGAACUGAGACACGGUCCAGACUCCUACGGGAGGAAGCAGUGGGGAAUAUUGGACAAUGGGCGAAAGCCUGAUCCAGCCAUGCCGCGUGUGUGAAGAAGGGAUUCGGAUUGUAAAGCACUUUAAGUUGGGAGGAAGGGAAGGAAGUUAAUACCUUGCUGUUUUGACGUUACCAACAGAAUAAGCACCGGCUAACUUCGUU